rnacentral:rRNA from 1 species
UACGAAGGGGCUAGCGUUGCUCGGAAUCACUGGGCGUAAAGCGCACGUAGGCGGACUCUUAAGUCGGUGGUGAAAUCCUGGAGCUCAACUCCAGAACUGCCUUCGAUACUGAGAGUCUCGAGUCCGAGAGAGGUGAGUGGAACUGCGAGUGUAGAGGUGAAAUUCGUAGAUAUUCGCAAGAACACCAGUGGCGAAGGCGGCUCACUGGCCCGGUACUGACGCUGAGGUGCGAAAGCGUGGGGAGCAAACAGG